rnacentral:rRNA from 1 species
ACGUAGGAGGCAAGCGUUAUCCGGAAUUAUUGGGUGUAAAGCGCGCGCAGGUGGUUAUGUAAGUCGGGUGUUAAAGUUCGGGGCUCAACCCCGUGAUGGAUUGGAAACUGUAUGACUUGAGUACAGUAGAGGUAAGCGGAAUUCCCAGUGUAGCGGUGAAAUGCGUAGAUAUUCGGAGGAACACCAGUGGCGAAGGCGGCUUCCUGGGCUAUACCUGACACUCAGGCGCGAAAGCUAGGGGAGCAAACGG